rnacentral:rRNA from 1 species
UACGGGGGGGGCAAGCGUUGUUCGGAAUUACUGGGCGUAAAGGGCUCGUAGGCGGCCAACUAAGUCGGACGUGAAAUCCCCAGGCUCAACCUGGGAACUGCGUCCGAUACUGGAUGGCUUGAAUUCGGGAGAGGGAUGCAGAAUUCCAGGUGUAGCGGUGAAAUGCGUAGAUAUCUGGAGGAAUACCGGUGGCGAAGGCGGCAUCCUGGACCAACACUGACACUGAGGAGCGAAAGCCAGGGGAGCAAACGGG